UUAUGGAAGAGAAAGCUUCAGUAGAAAAGUAUGUGUUUAAACAAAAAAAUGCAGGUUUUUUUAAUGUCAAACAAUUGUGUUUCAUUUUGUUUUUGAUAUCAAAUUGUGGUUAACAGGUGUUCUUCAUUUUCACCCUUUAUAAUACUUCGAAUCACAGUGAUUGUCUAAAGUUGGGAGCAAGCAAUCCAGAAGAAGCUGCAAGGUGGAUACAUUCUUUACAAGAUGUUGAAUGGAACCGGGAACAAAUUCAAAGAGAAGAUGGCAGCCAUUUAGACUGAAUGACUCUAAGAGUGGUGCUCGUAAACGUUCUGUGGAUUGGACCUCAUCUGCAUCCCAUGAAUGUUGAUGCUAUGACAUCUGAUGUGAUUGCUCCUUCACAAUGGAAAAUAUUCGGCUGUAAAAAUGGUACUGAAACCUCAUCAAAUAUCUAAAAUAUGUCGGCUUUGAGCCUAAAUAUGGUACUUGUAAUGGUACUUGAACUUUGUUACAAAAUUUCAUUCCUUUGUAUAAGUACUGAUGUUGUCAAAUAGUGCAAAAGUUUAUUAGUGGAAAUUUCGUUAAAUAAAAUGAACAAGAAGCUCAAAAUUAGAGUGAACAGAUAUUUAGCAUGUUAA